rnacentral:rRNA from 1 species
AGCGAACGUUUGCGGCGGGCCUAACACAUGCAAGUCGAACGCACUAGCAAUAGUGAGUGGCGCACGGGUGCGUAACACGUGGGUAAUCAACCCUUCAGCUUGGGAUAACGACUUGAAAGGGUCGCUAAUACCGGAUACGGCGAGAGAGGCUUCGGCAUUUCUCGAGAAAGCCUCGCAAGGGGCACUGAAGGACGAGCCUGCGGCCCAUCAGCUAGUUGGUGAGGUAAGAGCUCACCAAGGCGAAGACGGGUAGCUGGUCUGAGAGGAUGAUCAGCCACACUGGAACUGAGACACGGUCCAGACUCCUACGGGAGGCAGCAGUGGGGGAAUAUUGCGCAAUGGGCGAAAGCCUGACGCAGCCACGCCGCGUGAGCGAUGAAGGCCUUCGGGUCGUAAAGGCUCUGUGGGGA